rnacentral:rRNA from 1 species
GAUGAACGCUGGCGGCGUGCUUAACACAUGCAAGUCGAACGAAGCACUUUUAAUUCUUCGGAAGAGAAAGUGACUGAGUGGCGGACGGGUGAGUAACGCGUGGGUAACCUGCCUUAUACAGGGGGAUAACAGUUAGAAAUGACUGCUAAUACCGCAUAAGCCGAUAGAGUCGCAUGACUUAGUCGGAAAAGAUUUAUCGGUAUAAGAUGGACCCGCGUCUGAUUAGCUAGUUGGUGAGGUAAUGGCCCACCAAGGCGACGAUCAGUAGCCGGCUUGAGAGAGUGAACGGCCACAUUGGGGCUGAGACACGGCCCAAACUUCUACGGGAGGCAGCAGUGGGGAAUAUUGCACAAUGGGGGAAACCCUGAUGCAGCAACGCCGCGUGAAGGAAGAAGUAUUUCGGUAUGUAAACGUCUAUCAGCAGGGAAGAAAAUGACGGUACCUGACUAAGAAGCCCCGGCUAACUACGUGCCAGCCGCCGCGGUAA